GUCAUUCAGGAGCAGGUUGUUCAGUUUCCAUGUAGUUGUGUGGUUUUCACUGAGUUUCUUAAUCCUGAGUUCUAAUUUGAUUUCACUGUGGUCUGAGAGACAGUUUGUUGUGGUCUUUUACAUUUGCUGAGGAGUGCUUUACUUCCAACUAUGUGGUCAAUUUUGGAAUAAGUGCAAUGUGGUGCUGAGAAGAAUGUAUAUUCUGUUGAUUUGUGGUGGAGAGUUCUGUAGAUGUCUAUUAGGUUGGCUUGGUGCAGAGCUGAGUUCAAAUCCUGGAUAUCCUUGUUAACCUUCUGUCUCGUUGAUCUGUUUAAUGUUGACAGUGGGGUGUUAAAAUCUCCCAUUACUAUUGUGUGGGAGUCUAAGUCUCUUUUUAGGUCUCUAAGGACUUGCUUUAUGAAUCUGGGUGCUCCAGUAUUGGGUGCACAAAUAUUUAGGAUAGUUAGUUCCUCUUGUUGAAUUGAUCCCUUUACCAUUAUGUAAUGGCCUUGUCUCUUUUCAUCUUCGUUGGUUUAAAGUCUGUUUUAUCAGAGACUAGGAUUGCAACCCCUGCUU
rnacentral:lncRNA from 10 species